rfam:Schistosoma haematobium scaffold482_7, whole genome shotgun sequence.
AUCCAUCUGACAAGUUCCAAACAGGACGAAAUAUGUGUCCUGGAU